GAGGUUGGGAGAGAAGACUAGGAAGGGGAGGGAAAGAGUCACUAAAGAAAAAAGGGGAGAAGGAGGGAUAGAGGCAGUGGGGAGGAGCAUGGGGAGGAGGGGAAGGUCCGAGAGAUCAGAAAGGAGAGGUCAGGGGAGAAAGCGGAAAGAAGAGGGCCAAAGGAUCCAGCAGGAAAGAGGAAGGAAACUCAUGGAGAGAAAAAAGGGAGAGAGGAGGGUCCCUGAGAGAGGGGAAAAGGGUGAGAGGGAGGGAGGAAGUGGAUGUCGGAGCAAGGGGACAAGUAAGAAGACUGAGGGUCAGAGGAUUUGGGAGGGAGAAGGGGCUCUGAAUGGAGAUUAUAGGGAAAGGUUUCGAAAACAAAGGAGGGGAGGAGAAAGAGGAUCUGAGGGGGGCAUGGAGAGGGAGAGGGUCAGGGAGAAAGAAGGGUCAGGCAGAAGGUAAUUUUGGUGGCUCCAGAGGGUCCCUUUAGCUCUGGAAAACCAGCCUUCCAUUCACUUUUCUUUCCUUUUUUAUUUCAUCAUCUUGGCAGAGACAUAUCCCUAAGCCUAGGCCUGGUCCAGAGCCUCUCAGAGCUCACGAGUUACAGUCUACACCAUCAAAGAGCCUGAAUACAAUAGUUAGGAACCAGACAAAUCAGAAAUAGGCUCCCCACCCCAUCCCCCACUCCCAAUUAAACCCUUUCAACAGUCCCCACAAAUGACUCUUCCCUUCCCAAACUGACUCCCCUCCUCCACCUUCUCCUGCUCUCGAUGUCUCCACUGAUCCCUUCCUCCACUUCUCCAGGGACCCGACCCAGAUUUAGAAUCAUACAACUUUAGAGAAGCUGAAAAAGAUCUUAGAAAUUAUUCAGUUCAACUCUCCUCAAUUUACAGAGGAGGAAACUGAGGUCCCCAUAAUGGGCAUUAGCCUGAAGUUAGAGAAGCCAGAUCUGACACCCCAACAUAAAAUGCCUGCUUCAUGGGCAGGCCCCCCCAAUACCCUAAGCUGAAGGGACCCCGGAAUGAGGUGGCUAGAUCUGGACAGGAAUCCCAUGAGAUAGGCUGAGAUUUCUAUUUUUGGAGAGAAUGCUCGCUAUGGUGAGAUCACUAGACUAGCUGCGGAUAUACCGGCUGGAGCUAGAACUAAAAAAACAAACUCCCUGCCCUCAAGGAGCUUCAGUUCUCUUGGGGGAUGAUAUAAUAUGAACACUGAUAAGUAAUUCCUUAGCAUGAACAAGUGAUACAAAAUCACUCUAAGAGGAAGGGAGCUCUAACAAUGGGAGAAGAAACUGGUCGCAGAGCCCAGAAGACCUGGGUUCACCCCCUGUCUUUUAUACAAUGUGAGACCCUAGACAAGCUAUUUAACUUAGACCAAUGGCAUUAACUCAUAUAGAAAGAGUAUAUAUCCUGUAUCCACUAAAAAAGUAUAUGUAUCUUUGUGUAAAAGUAUCUUUGUGGGCUACAUAUUGACUUAGAAAACUAUAUAUUAACAUCUCUUACUGUAUUUUUUUUUGGUUGCUAAAACUUUCCCAGUUACAAUUUAAUGAUUCCCUAUUAGAAUUCAGAAGGGUCUCUUGUACCAGGUUUGACUCCCUGCUCUGUUUUGAAGAAAUAGGGAAGUUUCUUCAUUACCAAUGAAACCCUAGACCCAGCCUCUCUAUUUGAGGGUAUAGUAAGUGCAUAAAGAAAGAGCCAGCCAGAGGGGCGGCUGAGUAGGGGGAUGACACCAGGGAGGGAUUCUUUUGGCCAUGACUCAAUGUUAGUCCUUAAAGGGAAGAGCUCAAAGGCUGCAAGGGACAUUAAAGGCCAGGGAGUCCCCUGGGAGCCAAGAGGGGAGAGGAACUCUGAGACCUUGGGCACGCUGGGAAGGAGGAUGCUGGGGAGCCUGAGCAGAUUAGCCUGCCAAGGGAAGUUGGCGGGCUUAACUCAAGAGUUUGUGGGCAGUGCGGGCCUGGGCCUGAAUGCUUUGGGUGCCAAGCAGAAGUGAUGCAAGCCUCUGAACAGCUCAGCCCCAGCAUUCACCUGGCAACCGACCCCUCCCUUGGGAACACGGGUUGGCUCACUUCUUACUUCCUUCAGUGCCUGGUACAGCAGAGCGACAUCUGAGGCCCAGCGGCAGCCCAGAGGGGAGGAAAGAGUCCUUCCAUCUUGGUCCUAAAGCUGCUGCUUGACUGUGGGCAGGUUCUGCUCUCAGCCUCAGUUUCUCCCUCUGUCAACUAGUCUCUGGAGCACUGGUUGGGUUGGUUAUGCUGGCCACUCAUUCCUCCUUCCGAGUCUCAGUUUCCCUAUCUGGAUAACGAGGCUGUCAGUGGAUAAAUUGUAAAGCCUUAUACAGACGGAAGUAAUUGUAAUCUGUAAUUGUAAUGCCCUUUUCAGGGAUGUUUUGUUGAUGGAGAUUUUUGCUGCAUUCUCUCACCACCUGGCUAGAAGGCUUUCCUCCCUUCUCUUGGAAUGUGAGCUUCCAGAUCCUGCCAGAAUCCUCCUGUACCUUCCAGAGGUAGCUCUUGGCUGGCAGAGCUUUCAAGAGCCUCAGUGUCUCCAUUUGUCAAAUGAAGGGAAUUAGAUCAGUGACAUCUGUGAACCCUUGACAAUCUUAUCUAGUGGGCUACCAUUCUAUGCCUCCAGGCAGUAUGAAGCCACAAAACAGUACCAGCUGGCCAUGGCAAAGGGGAUGGAAAGAUUCCCCCCACAGAGAUUCUCCUUCAGCUGGCAGUCAAGCAGUUAAUGGCUUAUGGGUCCAGGCUUGGGCACCCCACCCUCUGAUUCACAGCAUCUCCAUUCCUCAAACAAGGUGCCAGCUGGAACCAACCCAGCUUAGCCAGAACUGCUUCCAUCCCGAAUAGGGUUAUUGACACCUUGGAAAGAAGACCCUCAAUGCAAAAAGGAGAAGCCAUGUGUCCACGGAGAAAUGCAUCAGGGCCUACAGCAUAGCAGGGGAUUUUCUGGCCAUACCCUGGAGUACUCACCCUGAUGAGUUCUAGGUCACAGAUUGUCUAAAAAAUGAAGAAUACCCAAGAUUACACAGCUAGGUUUGCCAGCACUGGCGUUUCUAGGCUCCCCAGUGUGGGAGGGCCUACCCUCCCCCAGCCCAAAGGGUCUAAAGGGCAGUCAUUGGAUCACGGAGAGAGAAGUCGGAGUGACCCUGACGGCCUUUGAGCCCAACACCUCGAUUUUAAGGAGCCGAAAUCCUCUAGCAGUAAGAAAGCCACGGAUGACCAGCUGUUUGUCAUUUUAGCUGGGACGAUGGAAAAUAGGCUAAAGCUGCAGCAAGAGGUACUUAAGUCAGACAUGUGAAGGAAUUUCUGGACCACAAUGAGUAAUGGGAACUUAUAUCAACUCCUAACCAGAAUUCUAGGAUUAGGUGGGACAGAUUUCUUGGAUUUCAAAAGAUACAGCAGAAAUAAAUGGUGUGUAUGAGUAAGAAAAUAAACUCAUAUGAGGGAAGCUGCAUUGGAAAGCGUCAUGAGAAAGACCUUUUGGGUGGAGAUCACUGGAAGGAGAUUUAAGAGCAAUGUUAACAUGAAAUCACACUUCAGAUCAAUUGGACAAGAGCAAUUAGAGAAAUAGGAGCCUAGGUAUAAUAUACUACUAGUCAGACAGUUGACUGUCACUCAAACUCCAAAAGUUCCUCUAGGCUCAAAUACACUCUUCUAUUUAGCUUUUUAAAUCCUUCACCACCGACCUUUCCAAGCUUAUUGUGCGUCUCCCUCUUCAUGUACUCUAUGGUUUCAUCCAAGUACAGUGGAUUGCUUCACAUCCCUCAUACAUAACAGUCCAUCUCCUGUCUUCAAGUUUUUGCUCAAGAUGUCUCUCAUAUUUUGAAGUCUUUCACUUUUGCCUUCUUACAAUGCUUACAAGUUUCCUUCAAAAGUCAGUGGAAGCACCACAUCCAACAUGUCUUUUAAAACUUUUUAUUAAG